UACGGAGGGUGCAAGCGUUAAUCGGAAUUACUGGGCGUAAAGGGUGCGUAGGCGGCUCGUUAAGUCUGUCGUGAAAUCCCCGGGCUCAACCUGGGAAUGGCGAUGGAUACUGGCGAGCUAGAGUGUGUCAGAGGAUGGUGGAAUUCCCGGUGUAGCGGUGAAAUGCGUAGAGAUCGGGAGGAACAUCAGUGGCGAAGGCGGCCAUCUGGGACAACACUGACGCUGAAGCACGAAAGCGUGGGGAGCAAACAGG
rnacentral:rRNA from 1 species